rnacentral:rRNA from 1 species
ACGAACGCUGGCGGCAUGCCUAACACAUGCAAGUCGAACGAAGGCUUCGGCCUUAGUGGCGCACGGGUGCGUAACGCGUGGGAAUCUGCCCUUGGGUUCGGAAUAACAGUGAGAAAUUACUGCUAAUACCGGAUGAUGACUUCGGUCCAAAGAUUUAUCGCCCAAGGAUGAGCCCGCGUAAGAUUAGCUAGUUGGUGAGGUAAAGGCUCACCAAGGCGACGAUCUUUAGCUGGUCUGAGAGGAUGAUCAGCCACACUGGGACUGAGACACGGCCCAGACUCCUACGGGAGGCAGCAGUGGGGAAUAUUGGACAAUGGGCGAAAGCCUGAUCCAGCAAUGCCGCGUGAGUGAUGAAGGCCUUAGGGUUGUAAAGCUCUUUUACCAGGGAUGAUAAUGACAGUACCUGGAGAAUAAGCUCCGGCUAACUCCGUGCCAGCAGCCGCGGUAAU